rnacentral:rRNA from 1 species
GACGAACGCUGGCGGCGUGCUUAACACAUGCAAGUCGAACGGAAAGGCCCUGCUUUUGUGGGGUGCUCGAGUGGCGAACGGGUGAGUAACACGUGAGUAACCUGCCCUUGACUUUGGGAUAACUUCAGGAAACUGGGGCUAAUACCGGAUAGGAGCUCCUGCUGCAUGGUGGGGGUUGGAAAGUUUCGGCGGUUGGGGAUGGACUCGCGGCUUAUCAGCUUGUUGGUGAGGUAGGGGCUUACCAAGGCUUUGACGGGUAGCCGGCCUGAGAGGGUGACCGGCCACAUUGGGACUGAGAUACGGCCCAGACUCCUACGGGAGGCAGCAGUGGGGAAUAUUGCACAAUGGGCGGAAGCCUGAUGCAGCAACGCCGCGUGCGGGAUGACGGCCUUCGGGUUGUAAACCGCUUUCGCCUGUGACGAAGCGUGAGUGACGGUAAUGGGUAAAGAAGCACCGGCUAACUACGUG